rnacentral:lncRNA from 1 species
UAUGCAUGUCUGGUAAGCUCAGAGGCAGCAUUUAGUCCUCGGGGAUGUUUGUCACAUUGAAGUACUCUUUCAUUUAGGUGCAAAUCAAGGUCCAAAGCCUUGCGUGUUAUAUAUCAGCUGCACUUGUCUCUUGCUUGUACCACCGGAGAAUCUAAACUGGCAGAGGUCAACGAAGAGCACGACACGCGGUGCAGCCUCGUCACAGGGACAGCUGCUACUUUUCUCCCCACGUGUGGCAAACCCUGAGCUCCAUCCUCCGUUCCUCUCCCCGGGCUGAGGUGGGAAAAACGUGCAGAAAUUAAACAUCGGUGCAUGCCCCCAACCAGCAAGGCAGUGUGCUGUGAGUGGGGGAGGAUCCGGAGGAAUUGCCCAUCUAUCCAGGUGCUAUUUUGUGAAGAAUGCUUUGCUUUUCUCUGCAUCCCCUCUGUGCAGCAAGGUGAGACCACUACAGUGAAUCUAUCUAUUUAUUUACUAUCUAUCUAUAUUUAUUUAAGAGAACCUCUUUGAAAACCCAUCUGCACACCCAGAACCAACUCCCCCUCCCCCCCCCACCCAGCCACGACAGCAGGGGAGGAUCAAAAUAACAAGCUCAGGGCCGGGAGCUGAGUUCCUGGGGGAGCUGCUAUCACCGAGCACUGCCAGGCACAGAACUCCCACUAAUUAGAUGGAACAGUUAUGUGACAAAACCCACGCGGGGGCUGCUGAGGGGGCUGCUGGUGGGAUUUGUGGCAGAGCGGAUUUUCAGGCAGCUGAAGGAAUGCGUCCCACGUGCACUGUGUGAAUCUCCGUCCUUUGCUGGGGCUGAGGGCUCAAUGUGGGGGGCGUGGAGGCACGUGGGGCUGAUCCAGGGGAGCCAUCCUUGAGCACAGGCUGGAUCCUGAGGGCUCGGGAUGUGGAUUCCUUACAGACCCCUUGCCAUGAGAGUGAGAAAUGAAUGGGAAGAGGCAAAUGCUUCAGCAGGGUGAUGCCAGGAGGCCGUGGCAUCAGACCCAACGGAACGGGGUUCUGGCGCUACAAACCCUGCAGUAUCUAUCCAGCAAACGCCCAAACAUCCUCCAGGUUAUUUUCAUUCUCUUUUCCUUUGGAAAAUGGAAAAAUAAAGCCCUCCCACACGCGGGAAACCAAGGCCAUCAAUGAGAGCCCGCCGCUCAUCACAAGAGCUGCUUAGAGAGCAGCGAGCCGUGUUUACCAGCACUCUGGAAACGAGCGUGAGAGCGCACGUUAAAAUCCUAAUUAAAGGCGCAGCCUUUCUCCUCCUGCGAGCGCUGCCCGGCGUGGCGGCUCCAGCUGUGCCAGAUGUGCCCGCAGGUCUCCCACACGGAGACGCGUCCCGCCCACGCA